rnacentral:rRNA from 1 species
GCCUGUCCUAAAAUCGAUAACCCACGAUCAACCUCACCCGCCUUUGCAAUAACAGCCUAUAUACCUCCGUCGCCAGCCCGCCUGAAAACAGAAAAAUAGCGAGUGCAACAACUAAUCGUUAAUACGACAGGUCACGGUGUAGCUUAUACGCGGGGCAGAGAUGGGCUACAUUUCUUAAUAUAAUAAAUACCUACCCCGCCAUGAAAUCUGCGGAACAAGGUGGAUUUAGCAGUAAGUUAGGCAAGAAAGCCUAUCUGAAGCGCGCUCUGAAAUGUGC